rnacentral:rRNA from 1 species
UUGGUGACCAGCGGAGGGAUCAUUACCGAGUUUACAACUCCCAAACCCAAUGUGAACGUUACCAAACUGUUGCCUCGGCGGGAUCUCUGCCCCGGGUGCGUCGCAGCCCCGGACCAAGGCGCCCGCCGGAGGACCAACCAAAACUCUUAUUGUAUACCCCCUCGCGGGUUUUUUUAUAAUCUGAGCCUUCUCGGCGCCUCUCGUAGGCGUUUCGAAAAUGAAUCAAAACUUUCAACAACGGAUCUCUUGGUUCUGGCAUCGAUGAAGAACGCAGCGAAAUGCGAUAAGUAAUGUGAAUUGCAGAAUUCAGUGAAUCAUCGAAUCUUUGAACGCACAUUGCGCCCGCCAGUAUUCUGGCGGGCAUGCCUGUCCGAGCGUCAUUUCAACCCUCGAACCCCUCCGGGGGGUCGGCGUUGGGGAUCGGCCCUGCCUUGGCGGUGGCCGUCUCCGAAAUACAGUGGCGGUCUCGCCGCAGCCUCUCCUGCGCAGUAGUUUGCACACUCGCAUCGGGAGCGCGGCGCGUCCACAGCCGUUAAACACCCAACUUCUGAAAUGUUGACCUCGGAUCAGGUAGGAAUACCCGCUGAACUUAAGCAUAUCAAUA